ACACGUGAUACAAUGGGGCAUACACAGAGAAGCGACCUCGCGAGAGCAAUCGGACCUCAUAAAGUGCGUCGUAGUCCGGAUUGGAGUCUGCAACUCGACUCCAUGAAGUCGGAAUCGCUAGUAAUCGUGGAUCAGAAUGCCACGGUGAAUACGUUCCCGGGCCUUGUACACACCGCCCGUCACACCAUGGGAGUGGGUUGCAAAAGAAGUAGGUAGCUUAACCUUCGGGAGGGCGCUUACCACUUUGUGAUUCAUGACUGGCGGUGAAGUCGU
rnacentral:rRNA from 1 species